rnacentral:snoRNA from 1 species
ACCCUUCAGUUCCCUAUCCAGGAGAUAUUAACACUAGUCUGAGUGGUGUAAGAGAGAAAAAUAAAAGUUAUACCGAUUUAAAUUCUUUUGUGACACACGAGCUUGUUUCAAACAAAC